rnacentral:rRNA from 1 species
UAGGGAAUCUUCCACAAUGGACGCAAGUCUGAUGGAGCAACGCCGCGUGAGUGAAGAAGGUUUUCGGAUCGUAAAGCUCUGUUGUUGGUGAAGAAGGAUAGAGGCAGUAACUGGUCUUUAUUUGACGGUAAUCAACCAGAAAGUCACGGCUAACUACGUGCCAGCAGCCGCGGUAAUACGUAGGUGGCAAGCGUUGUCCGGAUUUAUUGGGCGUAAAGCGAGCGCAGGCGGAAUGAUAAGUCUGAUGUGAAAGCCCACGGCUCAACCGUGGAACAGCAUCGGAAACUGUCAGUCUUGAGUGCAGAAGAGGAGAGUGGAAUUCCAUGUGUAGCGGUGGAAUGCGUAGAUAUAUGGAAGAAAACCAGUGGCGAAGGCGGCUCUCUGGUCUGCAACUGACGCUGAGGCUCGAAAGCAUGGGUAGCGAACAGG